rnacentral:lncRNA from 1 species
GACCACUAAUUGCUACUUCUACAAGAAUAGUUUCAUGUAUAAUAUUUCCAAAGAUAAUAAACAUCCAUUUAUUACUUCUACAUGCACAAGUUUGAUUUUCUUAACAAGAGAUAUAUCUUGUUUUUUGACAAAGUCUUCAUCUAUAAAAUAAAUUAAGGCUCUUGAAUUCAAAUCAUAAAGGAAUUGCAAAUCUUUUUUGAUUAAAAGUACAAACCAAAAGAGGGCACUUCUUGAUAAAAGUGCACCUAUAAAUCCAUUUGAGCAUUCAAAAAAAUGUAAUCUUAAAUAAAACUUGGCUUAUUGCAAAAAUCUUUGAAAUUUUGAUCUU